UGGGGGAUAUUGCACAAUGGGGGAAACCCUGAUGCAGCGACGCCGCGUGAAGGAAGAAGUAUUUCGGUAUGUAAACUUCUGUCAGCAGGGAAGAAAAUGACGGUACCUGACCAAGAAGCUCCGGCUAAAUACGUGCCAGCAGCCGCGGUAAUACGUAUGGAGCAAGCGUUAUCCGGAUUUACUGGGUGUAAAGGGAGCGCAGGCGGCAGGCCAAGUCAGAUGUGAAAAUCCGGGGCCCAACCCCGGAAGUGCAUUUGAAACUGGCCGGCUGGAGUGCAGGAGAGGCAGGCGGAAUUCCUAGUGUAGCGGUGAAAUGCGUAGAUAUUAGGAGGAACACCAGUGGCGAAGGCGGCCUGCUGGACUGUAACUGACGCUGAGGCUCGAAAGCGUGGGGAGCAAACAGG
rnacentral:rRNA from 1 species